rnacentral:rRNA from 1 species
GACGAACGCUGGCGGCGUGCCUAAUACAUGCAAGUAGGACGCAGUUGCGAACGGGUGAGUAACGCGUAGGUAACUGCCUAAUAGAGGGGGAUAACUAGUGGAAACGCUAGCUAAUACCGCAUACUAGUAGAUGGACCGGCGUUGUAGGAUCUAGUAGGUAGGGUAAUGGUCUACCUAGACAACGAUACAUAGCCGACCGGAGAGGGUGAUCGGCCACCCUGGGACCUGGACACGUCCCAGACUCCUACGGGAGGCAUCAGUAGGGAAUCUGCGGCAAUGGGGGGAACCCUGACCGAGCAACGCCGCGUGAGUGAAGAAGGUUUGCGGAUCGUAAAGCUCUGUUGUUAAGGAAGCGGUACUUAACCAGAAAGGGACGGCUAACUACGUGCCAGCAGCCGCGGUAAUUC